UGCUUGCUCUCAUAAGGACAAGGCGUGAUGAGGAGCGAAAUUAAAGUAGCGAAGGCUGCGACGUCACCACUGCCGAGAAAAGCUUCUAGCCAGAGACGGUGCACCCGUACCGCAAACCGACACAGGUAGUCGAGGAGAGUAUCCUCAGGUGAGCGAGAGAACUCUCGUUAAGGAACUCGGCAAAAUGGCCCCGUAACUUCGGGAGAAGGGGCGCUGGUCGCAAGAUCAGCCGCAGUGAAAAGGCCCAAGCAACUGUUUAUCAAAAACACAGGCAUCUGCAAAAUCGUAAGAUGAAGUAUAGGUGCUGACACCUGCCCGGUGCUGGAAGGUUAAGAGGAGAGCUUAGCGUAAGCGAAGGUUUGAAUUG
rnacentral:rRNA from 1 species